UGGACAUGAAUCUAUGCAAAGAAUAGAACACUUGGAUAUUCCCAUUAAAAUCCAGAAACUGGGAUUCUGCUUCUAAACAAAAAUGGGUCCAAUUUGCAAGCGCAAGCCAUUGCAUCUGAAGACUGUGAGAAAGAAUAUUCAUUAUUGCUGGCCUUGUAAAGAGAUGAAACUGCAGCUCGUCUCAGUUUAUGUACCAGUCAGCAAGUGGAGCUCAGCAUUGUGAUAACUGGUACUUUGAUUACUGGGGGAAAGGUACCCACAUCAGCGUCAAUUCUGGUUUCACCUCAGAGCUGAAUACAUGCUAAUUACAGAGCUCUUGUGGCUGGUUUCACAGGCGCCGUUUAGCACUAGUCUU